AGAGGCACUUCAGAGACUGGAGGGACGGACCUGCAGGAGCCAGGGCUGCCCGCCGAGCUGCAAUUGCCGCUGCUGCCGCUGUCGCUGUCGCGCUGCCACCACCGCCGCCGCUGUCAGCGCCCCUCUGAAGAGUGACAGCUCCGCAAAAGCGGGAGGGAGCACCGAGCCCCGCGCCUCUACGAAACAGGUGCAUGCGCCGAUCUCCCGGUCAGUGGACCCAGCUCGCAAGCUUAUCCAACAAAAGUAUUAACAUAUACAUUAACAACGUCGAAAGUAGCCUACUUUAAGAGAAAAUAUGCAGAAGAAGAAGAUUUACAUCAAGAUUACCAUGGGUAUUUUCCAAAACACCUGAUAUUGCCUGAGGACAGGACUUGCAUUCUCAAACUUUCUCUGGAGAAGCUCAGGUUUCUUGAAGACCCAGAAACCUACUUAAGAAGGUCUGUGUUAAUUAACAAUUUGCUGAGGAAGAUACAUCUAGAGACGGAGAAAGAGAGCUAUGAAUACUUUAAAGAAGCUCCCUGUUAUAAGACUGCUUAUUCUGAUACAAGAAAACGGCUGAAGUUCAUGGUACAGGAAUGCUGUUCUCAGUCUCUUUAUUAUGAAGAGCUGCAUUCAUAUCAUAUUGUGCCUUAUGCUUCGGAGAAUGCCAUUUAUGGAAUGGGCUACACUAGCAGCCAUUUGGAGCAGAAUUCUCAGUUGCUUAUUUAUAAAAUGAAUUAAAGUAACCGUUAAGUUCAU